rnacentral:rRNA from 1 species
UUAGUGGUGGGGUGACUGCGUACCUUUUGUAUAAUGGGUCAGCGACUUAUAUUCUGUAGCAAGGUUAACCGAAUAGGGGAGCCGGAGGGAAACCGAGUCUUAAUUGGGCGUUAAGUUGCAGGGUAUAGACCCGAAACCCGGUGAUCUAGCCAUGGGCAGGUUGAAGGUUGGGUAACACUAACUGGAGGACCGAACCGACUAAUGUUGAAAAAUUAGCGGAUGACCUGUGGCUGGGGGUGAAAGGCCAAUCAAACCGGGAGAUAGCUGGUUCUCCCCGAAAGCUAUUUAGGUAGCGCCUCGUGAAUUCAUCUCCGGGGGUAGAGCACUGUUUCGGCUAGGGGGCCAUCCCGGCUUACCAACCCGAUGCAAACUGCGAAUACCGGAGAAUGUUAUCACGGGAGACACACGGCGGGUGCUAACGUCCGUCGUGAAGAGGGAAACAACCCAGACCGCCAGCUAAGGUCCCAAAGUCAUGGUUAAGUGGGAAACGAUGUGGGAAGGCCCAGACAGCCAGGAUGUUGGCUUAGAAGCAGCCAUCAUUUAAAGAAAGCGUAAUAGCUCACUGGUCGAGUCGGCCUGCGCGGAAGAUGUAACGGGGCUAAACCAUGCACCGAAGCUGCGGCAGCGAACGUAUCACCCAAGACAACUUUACGGAGUUGACGAUUGACGGAGCGAAGCGACGUCAAAGCGUUCAUUAAAGUCGAGUUGGCUUAGGGAUACGUUCGUUGGGUAGGGGAGCGUUCUGUAAGCCUGUGAAGGUGUGUCGUGAGGCAUGCUGGAGGUAUCAGAAGUGCGAAUGCUGACAUAAGUAACGAUAAAGCGGGUGAAAAGCCCGCUCGCCGGAAGACCAAGGGUUCCUGUCCAACGUUAAUCGGGGCAGGGUGAGUCGACCCCUAAGGCGAGGCCGAAAGGCGUAGUCGAUGGGAAACGGGUUAAUAUUCCCGUACUUGGUGUUACUGCGAAGGGGGGACGGAGAAGGCUAUGUUGGCCGGGCGACGGUUGUCCCGGUUUAAGCGUGUAGGUGUGUGUUCCAGGUAAAUCCGGUU